CGAAAUAUGAAUUUUACCAUUGUUUUUGUUUACAAAAUUCUAUUUGAAUGAGUGAAAUAUUUGCAAUAAUUGUUAAUAAUACCUAGCUACGAUAUAUGCGUCCAAAUAUGGUCAGACGCUCCUUUUAUGGUAGCCCUAUAAAGGUCGCGAGAGGAAACGUAACUUAGUAUCAUUUUUAAUAUUUGAACAUUUGGUUCAAAAGAAACGAAAAAGAAACUCAAUUUUUAAAUUAUGAACGAAGCGGAGUUUUGUCUGAGCGCUCUGCCGCACCGUUCGUUAAACGAAUCAGUAAAGACCAGCAUUUUUACUACAAUAAAGCAAAUUAAAACAGGUUAGUUUGUUCAACAUAGUUUAGUUGUUCAUCAAAGAGC